rnacentral:rRNA from 1 species
UAAAGACUUAAGUAUACGCCGGUCAAUACUAACAACAGUUUAAAAUCCAAAGAAUUUGGCGGUAUCUUAAAUGCUCAGGGGAACCUGUACCUUAAUUUGAUGAUCCACACAACUCAAUCCAUAUUUUGAAUUUCAGCCUGUGUACUGCUGUCGUCAGUAAACCUUUUAAAAGAAAGUUUACAACCAUACUACUAUAACCACGUCAAGUCAAAGUGCAGCCUAUAAUAUGGUGAGUAUGGGUUACUAUUCCAAUAUGAAUACGAACUACUAUAAUAAAAAUUAGUAUGAAGGUGGACUUGAUAGUAAUACUUAUAUAUAAUUAGUAUAAACUUCAUCUAAGAUAUGCACACAUCGCCCGUCGCUCUCGUUCAAUUUG